GUAGGGUGCAAGCGUUGUCCGGAAUUACUGGGCGUAAUGAGUUCGUAGGCGGUUUGUCGCGUCGUUUGUGAAAACCAGCAGCUCAACUGCUGGCUUGCAGGCGAUACGGGCAGACUUGAGUACUGCAGGGGAGACUGGAAUUCCUGGUGUAGCGGUGAAAUGCGCAGAUAUCAGGAGGAACACCGGUGGCGAAGGCGGGUCUCUGGGCAGUAACUGACGCUGAGGAACGANAGCGUGGGUAGCGAACAGGAUUAGAUACCCUGGUAGUCCACGCCGUAAACGGUGGGCGCUAGGUGUGGGUUCCUUCCACGGAAUCCGUGCCGUAGCUAACGCAUUAAGCGCCCCGCCUGGGGAGU
rnacentral:rRNA from 1 species